UACACGAGGGAUAAAAUUGAUGCUGA
rnacentral:piRNA from 1 species